GCCGGUGGGUCUUGUCUCGCUGUAAAAGCUCAUCUGAGAUCUGGAGUGGAGAUCCAGAGUAGACCGCUCGUAGUAGAAGUUCGGAGCAGACCACUCGUAGUAGGAGUUUGGAGUAGACCGCUCGUAGUAGCAGUUCGGAGUAGACUGCUCGUAGUAGAAGUUUGGCUCUCAUAGGAGCCUGGUUAGAAUCUUGAAGGCGGUCGACCGUCGUAGAAACUCGGAUGGAGUCUGAUUACUGUAGAAACCUCAUUGUCGAAGAAGCUCGGAUAUUGAUGAAGUCUGGAAGGAGUUUGGAGAAUAGUUGAUCACUGUAG
rnacentral:lncRNA from 1 species